rnacentral:lncRNA from 1 species
CUGCGCACACACUCAGACACACACCAGUGGCGACAGGGGAGAGUUGGAAAAACGCAGGAGGAGGAGGAGGAGGCAGGAGACAGCCGGGAUGAAGCAAUGGGAGCGGGAGCAGGCAGGAUCCCUUACAGAUCCCCCUCCGGCCUCAAGCUGCCUUGCCCGCCCCGGCAGGAGAGCGAGGAGUCGGGCGAGCAGAUGGAGCGGAGCUCGCUCUAGGCAGCUGGCUUGGCCGGAGACUGGAGGAGCCGCCAAGCGACCGGCUGAUUGGAGAGAAACGCAGAGCGAUGGAGGCGGGGGUAGGAGGACGAUUUCUCUGCGGGGACUGGCGGCGGCGUACACGCCCGGGUCGGGCGCUGCAGAGCUUGGCUAGCUUUCAACCCGCGCUCGGCGGCUCCAGCCCCGCGCACCCCCGCCCCCAGCCCUGCCGGCGGCCCCGCAGGUGAGUGCGAGCUGGGAGCAAAAUAAGAGCUAAAUGUCGAAAAACGUCUGCCUUGAAGAAAAAAAAGAAAAA